UACAGAGGGGGCAAGCGUUAAUCGGAAUUACUGGGCGUAAAGGGCGCGUAGGUGGAUAUAUAAGUUAGAUGUGAAAGGCCUGGGCUUAACCUAGGAUGGUCAUUUAAUACUGUAUAUCUGGAGUAUGGUAGAGGGUAGUGGAAUUUCCGGUGUAGCGGUGAAAUGCGUAGAUAUCGGAAGGAACAUCAAUGGCGAAGGCAGCUACCUGGCCUGAUACUGACACUGAGGCGCGAGAGCGUGGGUAGCAAACAGG
rnacentral:rRNA from 1 species